rnacentral:lncRNA from 1 species
AUUCAUAUAGCAUCAUUUUAAUGCAUUCAUCUAGCAUUUAAUCCAUGCAUUCAUCUAGCAAUUAACUACCAUUAUAUACAUCAACGAUAAACAACACUUCAUUUCGACACGGAAGUGAGCUAAUAUCUUCGGUGAGCACAACCCAUCUCGCAACGCUCUCCGAUUGCUUGUAGUCACUUGCAAUCAGCCUUCCUCGGCACAUGUGGUCCGGUUCGACCCGAACUCGCAAUCGGC